rnacentral:miRNA from 1 species
UAUUGGGUUGGCCAAAAAGUGCGUUCAGGUUUUUCCAUUACACCUUAUGGAAAAACCCAAAUGAACUUAUUGGCCAUCCCAGU